UGAUGUGACCGCACAUUAAACUAUAGAGACCGCUGUUUCUUCUUUAAACCAGAGGAAGGAUACGGCAAUAACAG
rnacentral:rRNA from 1 species